CCAGUGGUGAUACAAUCGCCUCAGGUGUCUUUGCAAAUGUAGCCGAGGAGUCGGGGGUAAAUUGCCAUCUCCUUCUAGAGAAGUUUUCUAGCUUGGAGAAAUUAGUCUCAGGAAUCUCCACACCCUGCUAGCUGCAACAGAACCGCAGCUUGGGUUUGCAGGAGUUAAAUGAGUUCAGAUUUUGAAAACUAAACCUCUGAUGUAAAAAAUAGGGAAAGAAGCUAAAGCCUUUUGUUCAGAAAAACGUAGCUUUGAGGCAAUUCAGUGGCAAUGGCUAAAGAUAAGAAGAAAGAUGGCAAAAAAACAGAAAAGUUGGCACCUGCCCCUCCACCUCCACCUGACACUUCAUUUGAAGGUAUUUCUUCAGUGCAGCUGUCAUAUGUCCAGACAUCAUUGAAUCAAGCAGAGGAAGCACAAGCAAGCCCUUUAGAAUCCCAAGAAGAAUCAAAAGAGACGGAAGUACCUCUGAUCCAAGAAGCAGCUCAGUAUUAUGAGGAGCCUAUUCUAACUCAACUUAUUGUAGAAAAUUAUGAAGGAGAAAAAGUCCAUGGAUUAUAUGAUGGAGAAGGUGUAGCAUAUUUUCAGGGAGGAAAUAUAUACAGAGGCAUGUUUUCCGAAGGACUCAUGCAUGGACACGGGACUUAUACAUGGGCUGAUGGAGUGAGGUAUGAGGGGAACUUUGUUAAGAAUGUGCAGAUGUAUAAUGGCAGUUACACAUGGCCUGAUGGCAGCAUGUAUGAAGGAGAGGUGAAGAAUGGAGUCAGGCAUGGCUUUGGCAUGUACAAGUGUGGCACCCAUCCAGUUUCAUACAUUGGCCAAUGGUGUGAAGGCAAAAGACAUGGAAAGGGUACCAUUUAUUAUAAUCGAGAAGGUACUUCCUGGUAUGAAGGCGACUGGGUAAACAACAUCAAAGAUGGCUGGGGGAUAAGAUGUUAUAAAUCUGGAAAUAUCUAUGAAGGUCAAUGGGAAAAAAAUGUGCGCCAUGGGGAAGGAAGGAUGAGAUGGCUGACGACUAACCAGGAGUAUACUGGACAGUGGGUAAAUGGCAUACAGCAUGGGUAUGGUACCCACUCCUGGUUUCUGAAGAGAAUACCUGGGUCUCAGUAUCCUUUGAGGAAUGAAUAUGUAGGGGAUUUUGUAAAUGGGGAUCGUCAUGGACGUGGAAGGUUCUUCUAUGCCAGUGGAGCAAUGUAUGAUGGAGAAUGGGUUUGCAAUAAAAAACAUGGCAUUGGAAGAUUUGUCUUCAAAAAUGGGCGUAUUUACGAAGGGGAGUUUAUAAAUGAUCAAAUAGCAGAGUACCCAGCUUUUCAAGUGGAUGCAAUGAAUACGCAGGAUCUGAGUGGCAUUCGAACACAAAGUCCCUUUGGCACUGAAACCAUAAGAAUAAUUGAUGGCCCAGGAAAUACCUCUGUGUUGGGAUCAAACAUUGAACUAGACAUAUCUUCAUUGCUGAACUUGUUUCCAGAGAAAGACAGACAGGAAGAAAUGAAACAGGUAGAAUAUGCGGUAUUGAGACAUAUUACAGAACUGAGAAGAAUCUACAGUUUUUACAGCAGCUUAGGCUGUGAUCAGUCUCUUGACAACACCUUCCUGAUGACUAAGCUCCAGUUCUGGAGAUUUCUAAAGGAUUGCAGGUUUCAUCAUUAUAAUGUAACCCUUGCUGAUAUGGACAGGAUACUGAAUGAAGAUAAAACAACACCUGAGGAGGUGCAUUCUCCAUAUGAAACUUUACUGCUAAGAACAUUUUUGACUUACCUUAUUCAUCUAGCAGUCCAUAUCUAUCACAAAGAGCACAAAGAUAAAGGUCCAUAUCUGUUUAAGUGUUUCUCAAAAAUGAUGAUGAAGAACAUUAUUCCCAAUGCUUGUCAUAUACAAGGCAUUUUAUUUUGUGAACAACAACAAACUGUCUGUGCAAUUAAUUACAUUGAUAAAUGCUGGGAGAUAUACAGGGCUUAUUGUAGACCAAGCACCAUACCUCCUUAUGAACCCACAAUGAAAAUGAGACACUUCCUCUGGAUGUUGAAAGAUUUAAAUAUGCUAAGCAAACAAUUAACUGCUACAAAAAUUGUGGAAAUACUGGUAAAGGACAAUCCUUUUGUAUGUGAUGGAGAUGACAGCAACUUACAGCAUGAGUUGGUUUUUCUUGAAUUCUUUGAAGCUCUCCUUGAUUGUGCCCUGUUAUAUGUUACCAAUGAUAUGAUUAAGCAGCAAGUAGAUCUUGUAAAUCAAGAAGGAAAUGGUUAUAGAACUGAAGAUUACACAGAAGGGGCACGGCAUAUUCUGCAGCACCCAGAAUACUCAUUUCAGUCCAUUCAUAGCAGAAGUAUGAUCAGUGCUGAGGUAAGCCAUGAACCCUCUGAGACAAAUCACUACUACAUUACUACAAGGUCUUCAAGCAAGCUAGCACAGUCACCUGAUAAUAGAAUAAAGAAACCUGAGCUUAAAUCCAAGGACUCUGCAGUAGAAUACAGAACUUCCAGACAGACUUUUAAAUCUACUGAAAAAGAGAGAGAAGCCAUUGUAGAACAUGCUUCCGUCAUAGGCUGCCGGGCACCAAAGGAAGGAGCUGGAGCAGUUCCAAAUGUCACAUUCUCCUCAAACACAGUGUACCGGCUGUCUCCUGAUGACAAAGAUGAAAUGUUAGUUCAGUCUUUGACAGAUUUGGAUGCAGAACAAGGCCAAGUGCUCAGCAACCCCAUGAAAGAAUUUGCAGAUAAACUAGAAAAAGCAAAAAACGAACAGAAGGAAAAACUCAGUCUGUGGCUGAAUCAGAUGUACAUCUUUUUUGUGAACAAGUUCUUUCCUGCCUACAAGCAUGCUCAAGUGGUGAAGGAAAAUGUAGAAGAAAAUAGGAAACGGGAUGCUGAAUUAGCCAUGCAGCUGAAAACUGAAGAGGAAGCAAAGCGUAUUGCCCUAAGGAAAGCCGAAGAGGCCAAAAAACAAGAAGAAGCUGCAGCAGAAAAAGCAGAGACAGAUAAUACAGUGGUUAAAGAGCCAGAGGAUUCAGCUACACAGCUGCCACUUCCUGCAAAGGAAGAAGUAGUGAUUCUGCCCCAGCCAGUCAUUAGCAAGGUUUCUGCAGAAUGGCCAAGCCAACGAGAGUUUUUCACCCUCCUUGGUGGAUUUGGGCAUGAGAUGAUCUCCCUUUCCCAGUUUGAUAUCUGCAGCUGCCACCCCUGAGAGACUGAACUGCAUAGGAUAACGCCUAAUACUACUCAGAGAUAACAUAAUUCUGGAGCUCAAGUGGUAGUGGUCCUUCUAGUAUCAAUAUGGUCCACAUCAUAAUAUCUGAGCAUUUGAGGCAUAUAAGGAAUUUUCCUCAUAACAGCUCUUGGAAGUAGGAAAGAUUGCCUGGGCCUAAAUAUUUAAGAAAAAAAGGAAAACCAUUCAAAAUAUUAAUUCCAUGUCUCUUCACUUCUCAAGUAUAAUCUCCAGCAUCCUUAAAGCAACUCAUCUUCUCUCUGUUGCUGA